AGUGAACGCUGGCGGUAGGCCUAACACAUGCAAGUCGAACGGCAGCACAGUAAGAGCUUGCUCUUACGGGUGGCGAGUGGCGGACGAGUGAGGAAUACAUCGGAAUCUACUUUUUCGUGGGGGAUAACGUAGGGAAACUUACGCUAAUACCGCGUACGACCUACGGGUGAAAGCAGGGGAUCUUCGGACCUUGCGCGAUUGAAUGAGCCGAUGUCGGAUUAGCUAGUUGGCGGGGUAAAGGCCCACCAAGGCGACGAUCCGUAGCUGGUCUGAGAGGAUGAUCAGCCACACUGGAACUGAGACACGGUUCAGACUCCUACGGGAGGCAGCAGUGGGGAAUAUUGGACAAUGGGCGAAAGCCUGAUCCAGCCAUACCGCGUGGGUGAAGAAGGCCUUCGGGUUGUAAAGCCCUUUUGUUGGGAAAGAAAAGCAGCAGGUUAAUACCCCGCUGUUCUGACGGUACCCAAAGAAUAAGCACCGGCUAACUUCGUG
rnacentral:rRNA from 1 species